UAGGGGCUUUGUUAUACAGAGAGGUGUCCUGACUUGAUUGUGCUGCUGAGACUGGUCUUUCAGUAGGUGAAACACAUUCAUAUUGCAGUGUAAUCGUGGGCAUUGUGGAUGGCACAGUGGUGGAAAUGGGAACACACACAGAGCUGAUGGGGGAAAAAGGAGCCAGAUUAUUCACUUCCAACCUCACAGACUGCUCUUCAUGUUCACCAUGUUGUCCACCAGAAUCUUCAAACAUGAGUAGAACAGCACUUAUGCAAUAAGAAAGACUGAGCCAGCAGCCAGAAGUCAAAAACUGGCAGCGAGACUGUCCUGCAUUGGAUGAUCAACACCGUGGUCAAGAAACCAUACAAGCAUAUUCCAAGAACAUAUGUACAUACAGUUUUUCAGUGUGAUGCUGAAAUAUGUGUAUAUAUGUAUCUAGAUGUGUAUUAUAUACAUGUACUUCAUGUAGACAAGCAUAGGUUAGACUUCAGUCUGUCAGAUCUAAGCAAAGGUUGUGUAAAAUUCCUUUUUCCUGUUAUUUUUUUCUAUGGAGAUAUUCUAUGUAAACAUAGUCUAUUUUCAAAAUCAUUCUUCUAACUUCACAAUAAUAUCCUACUUUAAUAUUCCUAUCAGCGAGUUAAUUUAUUUUACAUUAGUCUGUUAGAAUGAUUUAAAAAAUGGCAAGUUAAUCCUAGAAUAAUCUUAAAAUUCAUAGUCUUCCCCAAUAUGUGUUGUAUGUGGUCUGCAAAAAUCCUUUCUGUUUUUGCUCUAAUUUAUUUUUUGCUUCUUAUUUAAGGUAUCACCUUAAUGUUUAUCUGCGGGAAACAAUUUUCGUGAAAGCACUAUAUGUAAAUGUUUAAUUCAAAUUGCAAGUUUCUCCAUUUUUCUUAUGUAGCAGUCAAACCCUAUUACAGUGAACAGUCUGAUAUCAUGAAUAUUUAUCCUAGCGUGCUGAUGAUUUGUUACAGCAAGGUUAGAUUGUGUCUUCAACACAAAUUUAUUUCUUCUGUUGCAGUUAGAACAAACAGAAUCCAUAUUGACACACUAAUGGUGUUCUUUCAGAAUGCACAUUAAAUCCUAAGGACUUCUACAGUUUAUAACACAACUGUUUCAGAAAAUUCUACACGUAGCCUUCAUUCUCAGUCUAGAAGUACUCAUCCGUAUGCUGUCUUCCACCUUUCUAUAUUCCAUUAACAAGACUGUGACUAAGAACUGUAGGAAAUGAAACGGAAUCCAGUGUCUUUUCCAUUACAUUAACCGUGUUUUGCUAAUUGCUUAAAUCUUACUGGUAGCUCUUGUGCUCAGCAGAGUAAAUUGUUGAAGAAACAGUCUUCACUGAUUGUUUAAACUGUGAUGGAUUUAGUAUUUGUAGCCAAGGAAUCAUAUAUGGGAGGUGUGGGAGUGUUUGCCGUGGAACAGUUUUGAUUUGGUUGUUUUUAUACUUAUUCUUACAAGCUGCUGCAAUAAACCAUGUAUACCAGGUAAGAAUAGCAUUGAGUACUUAAUAGUGUAAAAGGGAAAUACAGGCUGUGGACAGAUAUUGUCUUUCAGGAAUUUAUUUGCAAAAAAUUGUGAGAAAUACAAAGGAAAAUGUUAAGACACAUA